rnacentral:rRNA from 1 species
AGUGAACGCUGGCUGCGUGCUUAAGACAUGCAAGUCGAACGGCAGUCUUCGGACUGUAGUGGCGCACGGGUGAGUAACGCGUAACUGACCUACCCCAAAGUCGCGGAUAACGAUUCGAAAGAAUCGCUAAUACGUGAUGUGCUGUCAGAUUGUGUUCUGCCAGUAAAGAUUGAUUACUUUGGGAUGGGGUUGCGUUCCAACAGCUAGUUGGUGGGGUAAAGGCCCACCAAGGCGACGACGGAUAGACGGCCUGAGAGGGUGGCCGGCCACAGGGGCACUGAGACACGGGUCCCACUCCUACGGGAGGCAGCAGUUAGGAAUCUUCCACAAUGGGCGAAAGCCUGAUGGAGCGACGCCGUGUGAGGGAUGAAGGUCUUCGGAUCGUAAACCUCUGAAUCAGGGACGAAAGACACUUCGGUGGGAUGACGGUACCUGAGUAAUAGCACCGGCUAACUCCGUGCCAGCCGCCGCGGUAACAC